rnacentral:rRNA from 1 species
CCUACGGGAGGCAGCAGUAAGGAAUAUUGGUCAAUGGACGCAAGUCUGAACCAGCCAUGCCGCGUGAAGGAUUAAGGUCCUCUGGAUUGUAAACUUCUUUUAUUUGGGACGAAAAAGGGUCUUUCUAGGCCAACUGACGGUACCAGAUGAAUAAGCACCGGCUAACUCCGUGCCAGCAGCCGCGGUAAUACGGAGGGUGCAAGCGUUAUCCGGAUUCACUGGGUUUAAAGGGUGCGUAGGCGGGUAGGUAAGUCAGUGGUGAAAUCCUGGAGCUCAACUCCAGAACUGCCAUUGAUACUAUUUAUCUUGAAUAUUGUGGAGGUAAGCGGAAUAUGUCAUGUAGCGGUGAAAUGCUUAGAUAUGACAUAGAACACCUAUUGCGAAGGCAGCUUACUACGCAUAUAUUGACGCUGAGGCACGAAAGCGUGGGGAUCAAACAGGAUUAGAUACCCUGGUAGUCCACGCCCUAAACUAUGAUUACUCGACAUUUGUGAUACACAAUAAGUGUCUGAGCGAAAGCAUUAAGUAAUCCACCUGGGAAGUACGUCCGCAAGGANGAAACUCAAAUGAAAUUGACGG